UACGGGGGGGGCAAGCGUUGUUCGGAAUUACUGGGCGUAAAGGGCGCGUAGGCGGCCUGCUAAGUCGGAUGUGAAAUCCCUCGGCUCAACCGAGGAACUGCAUCCGAUACUGGCGGGCUUGAAUCCGGGAGAGGGAUGUGGAAUUCCAGGUGUAGCGGUGAAAUGCGUAGAUAUCAGGAGGAACACCGGUGGCGAAGGCGGGACUCUGGGCCGAUACUGACGCUGAGGAGCGAAAGCGUGGGGAGCGAACAGG
rnacentral:rRNA from 1 species